rnacentral:rRNA from 1 species
CCUACGGGAGGCAGCAGUGAGGAAUAUUGCGCAAUGGGGGAAACCCUGACGCAGCGACGCCGCGUGGAUGAUGAAGGCCCUUGGGUCGUAAAAUCUGUCCAGGUGGAAAGAAAUGUAUAUAUGCUAAUAUCGUAUAUAUUUGACGGUACCACCAAAGGAAGCACCGGCUAACUCCGUG